AUACUUACCUGGUGCCGGACUCCCGGUGAUCAUCCAGGCCGGUGUCCCGUGCCGAGGCCUAUUCCAUUGCACUGCGGAGGGCUGAAGCACGCCACUAUCCCAAACCGGGGUAGGUGGGGCAUGUAAUUUUUGGUAGUGGGGCUAGGCGUACGCGCCAGCCCCUA
rnacentral:snRNA from 1 species